rnacentral:rRNA from 1 species
UUAAAGAGGACGUGAAACCGAUGAGGUGGAAACGGACAGAGCUGGCGUAUCUGGCCCGCAUUCAGUCGUGGCCCGGCAGGCGUCAGGGAUGCCGCUCUCCAGAUUGGGACGGUGGCCUGGCUGCCAGUUGGGUUGCGGUGCAUUUGCGGGUGGAGUGCGCCGAGGCGCUCGGCUCAGCUGCAUGAUCUCGGCCUUGAGGCCAGCCCCUCACGGGGUCUGGUACCCGGGUCGGGGGAGUGCUGUUUGGGCUGGGUGUUCAGUGUUGGGCAAUGGUUUCGGGCCCGGGUGGGUGCCGAGCUGGUUGUCGGCGGCGGUCGCGUGCGACACGUGCCAGCGGUCAGUUCGGUCCUGCUCGAGCUCACACGUGCCUGGCCUCGGUGUAAAAGCCGGUCAUCUGUCCGACCCGUCUUGAAACACGGACCAAGGAGUUUAGCGUGUGCGCGAGUCAUUGGGCGUUGAAAACCCAAAGGCGCAAUGAAAGUGAAGGUCUGCCUCGCGCAGCUGAUGUGUGAUCCUGGCCACCGCGGUGCGUCCGGGCGCAACAUAGUCCCGUUCCGAUUGCUUGCAAUGGGGCGGAGACAGAGCGUACGCGCUGAGACCCGAAAGAUGGUGAACUAUUCCUGAGCAGGAUGAAGCCAGAGGAAACUCUGGUGGAAGUCCGAAGCGAUUCUGACGUGCAAAUCGAUCGUCUGACUUGGGUAUAGGGGCGAAAGACUAAUCGAACCAUCUAGUAGCUGGUUCCUUUCCGAA